UGAGGAAUAUUGGUCAAUGGGCGAGAGCCUGAACCAGCCAAGUCGCGUGAAGGAAGACUGCCUUAUGGGUUGUAAACUUCUUUUAUACAGGAAUAAAAAGGCUUACGUGUAGGCCAUUGCAAGUACUGUAUGAAUAAGCAUCGGCUAACUCCGUGCCAGCAGCCGCGGUAAUACGGAGGAUGCGAGCGUUAUCCGGAUUUAUUGGGUUUAAAGGGUGCGCAGGCGGGCUUUUAAGUCAGCGGUGAAAUCUGGACGCUUAACGUCCAAACUGCCGUUGAAACUGGGGAGUCUUGAGUAUGGAUGAAGUAGGCGGAAUUCGUUGUGUAGCGGUGACAUGCAUAGAUAUAACGAGGAACUCCGAUUGCGUAGGCAGCUUACUAAGCCAUAACUGACGCUCAUGCACGAAAGCGUGGGGAUCAAACAGGAUUAGAUACCCUGGUAGUCCACGCCGUAAACGAUGAUUACUAGUUGUAUGCGAUAUGAUAGUAUGUGACUAAGCGAAAGCGAUAAGUAAUCCACCUGGUGAGUACGCCGGCAACGGUGAAACUUAAAUGAAUUGACGGGGUCAUAGCUG
rnacentral:rRNA from 1 species